CUGUGGCAGCUUCAGGUGGCCAGUAUUGACUUUUACGACCGGCCUAUAGGUACAUGAACUUCUCAGUAUACUUCACAAUUCAUUUUAACAGUUAAGUUAAAGCCAGGAUGCAACGGUUACUAACAUUUAACUCGAUAAGGAAGCCACUUAAAGUCGUGACUAGAGACAGAGCGGCAGGUUAGUAACUUGAACGGACUUGGAGCACGGGAGUGAGAUUAGCUGGCUGGUUGUCCGAGGGUGCGGCUGACCUGGUCCAGAUCCGGGCCACCUGUGUGGGCUAGCCUGCCCUCCCGUCUGCCUCCUGUACUGUCUCCAGGAAGUGGUCACCAGGCUGCUCAUUGCCACUUUUUCCCCUCCACUUCAACUUCCAAGAGUGCAGGACAAUCCCUGGUCCCUGAGCACGCUGUCGUUUCCCCUCAGGCCCAUUAUCAGAUCCCCUCCGUAGGCUCCCAGCAGCUGCAGUUAUUGUGGAAGACUCGACUUUUAUAGCCCAUGAUGUCUGUGACAACACCAGCUUUUAUGAGUAAUGAAACACUACCUUCAUGUACCGUGUAGGCUUCACCAGGAGGUGGUUGGGGAAAAUGGCAGCAAGGUCCAGGACCUUGGCACCAGAUCCUCAGGCGACACACUUGGGGUCUGCAGGAAACAUCCGAAUGGGAGGAACCCAAAUCGAGGAGCUUAAAUGGCCAUAAAGCUGUGUGGGCUGUCAGUAAUGGAACCUAAGCUCUUCGCAGAGCCACACACCACAUUUACAGGUUAUGACCGGAGUCUGCAGGAGAGGCAGAUUGAAAAUUGAGGGAGAGGAGUGAUUUUGGUUG